rnacentral:lncRNA from 1 species
CAAACUCCCAGUUGCAAAGCCUCCUACACAGCCUUUGCAAAGAACCGCUCAGAGGAGAACUUCAAACAAAGGAGUGCAAUAUCAUGGCAACAUUUUGUGAGAUCAAUAUUGCAGAUAAAUGCUACACAUUCAUCUCUUCAGGUGGAUCAGCAAGCUGAUCUUCCUUUCUACAUGGCCACGAUUGCUAGGCCAGCAUGAAAGAUGCUAUGAGUGCACCGGUGGAAGCAAGAACAUGACUUCCUCUUUUGGCAACAGCAGAGUUUUAGAUCAGCUUCAGCAGGCAGCAGUUCCCCUGUCCUCUGGCAGCUGAUCCCUGAUCCACUGAAGUUAAUGGAAAAUGUUUCACUGAUUUCAAUACAACCACAAUCCGUCUCUGAUCCAAACACGAUUAAUAUGGGAAAAAUAUUGCAAACAGUUGAAAGACAAAUGUACAAAAUAACACGUAAGCUUCGACGUAUCACUUCGAUGCAAAG